rnacentral:rRNA from 1 species
AAUGGGCGAAAGCCUCACGUAGCCGCGCCGCGUGAGUGAUGAAGGCUCUCGGGUUGUAAACCUCUUUCAGCAGGGACGAAAAUGACGGUACCUGCAGAAGAAGCUCCGGCCAACUACGUGCCAGCAGCCGCGGUAACACGUAGGGAGCAAGCGUUGUCCGGAAUUAUUGGGCGUAAAGAGCUCGUAGGCGGUUCAGUAAGUCAGGUGUGAAAACUCGAGGCUCAACCUCGAGAGGCCACCUGAUACUGCUGUGACUGGAGUCCGGUAGAGGAGUGUGGAAUUCCUGGUGUAGCGGUGAAAUGCGCAGAUAUCAGGAGGAACACCAACAGCGAAGGCAGCACUCUGGGCCGGUACUGACGCUGAGGAGCGAAAGCGUGGGGAGCGAACAGGAUUAGAUACCCUGGUAGUCCACGCCGUAAACGUUGGGCACUAGGUGUGGGGUCUAGCUAACAGAUUCCGCGCCGCAGCUUAACGCAUUAAGUGCCCCGCCUGGGGAGUACGGCCGCAAGGCUU